rnacentral:rRNA from 1 species
AACGAACGCUGGCGGCAGGCUUAACACAUGCAAGUCGAACGCCCCGCAAGGGGAGUGGCAGACGGGUGAGUAACGCGUGGGAAUCUACCUAGUUCUACGGAACAACUGAGGGAAACUUCAGCUAAUACCGUAUACGCCCUACGGGGGAAAGAUUUAUCGGAAUUAGAUGAGCCCGCGUAAGAUUAGCUAGUUGGUGGGGUAAUGGCCUACCAAGGCGACGAUCUUUAGCUGGUCUAAGAGGAUGAUCAGCCACACUGGGACUGAGACACGGCCCAGACUCCUACGGGAGGCAGCAGUGGGGAAUAUUGGACAAUGGGCGCAAGCCUGAUCCAGCCAUGCCGCGUGAGUGAUGAAGGCCUUAGGGUUGUAAAGCUCUUUCGUCCGGGACGAUAAUGACGGUACCGGAAGAAGAAGCCCCGGCUAACUUCGUGCCAGCAGCCGCAGUAAGAC